UGAUUAGAUGAACCUUUGUUGGCAAAGUACUGUCUCUGCUUUUGAAUAUGCUAUCUAGGUUCGUCAUAACUUUCCUUCCAAGGAGUAAGCAUCUUUUGAUUUCAUGGCUGCAGUCACCAUCUGCAGUGAUUCUUAGCCCCCCAAAAUAAAGUCUCUCACUGCUUCCACUGUUUUCACAUCUGUUUCCCAUGAAGUGAUGGAACCUGAUGCCAUGAUCUUAGUUUUUGAAUAUUGCACUUUAAGCCAACGUUUUCACUCUCCUCUUUAACUUUCAUCAAGAGGCUCUUUAGUUUUUCUUUGCUUUCUGCCAUAAGGGUGGUGUCAUCUGCAUAUCUGAGGUUAUUGAUAUUUCUCCCGGCAAUCUUGAUUCCAGCUUCUGCUUCUUCCAGCCCAGCAUUUCUCAUGAUGUGACUUUAGCAAGAAUUGUGUACAUUUCAGGAUUGAUUAUGAUUAAAUAUAAGUUAAUUAAGUAAAUAACUUUUAUUAUUAAUAGUAAGCUGCAACAAUUCUGGAAUUUGGUUUUCUCUCUCUGUUAACAGAACAAACUUUUUCUGGAAUAUGAGCUGCCUUGGAGAACAGAUGGUAAGUCUCUUUCUUAGCUAACUCCGAGUGUUCCAGAGGAACUGUGAGGCAUCUCAGAGGGGAAUAUUAGAUUAACUAGCAUCACUGGUAUGUUAAACACCAUGGGGAGCAUUAUCAAGUGAAUGAGAAGCCUUCUCAGGUUAUACUGGGGUGGAUAUUAUUAAUAGAGAUUUGCCACACACACACAAAAAAAUGGAAUUCCUACGAACCUGGUAGGUCCCAAUGUCAUAAUUAGGACAUACCAGGGCAUACCAAGUUCUGCUACCAAGUCCUGCUACCAAGUCAUAAUUCUGGUUAUUGUAACCAAGUUUCUUAACCCAUUACAUUGUGCUCAGUUGUGUCACCAUAUCUUUCAGUCUUUAAGUCAGUCACACAUAGUUAUUGUACUUGGAUGGUUUUGCAAAAGGUCUUCAUCUCCAAGAAGAUUCAUAGCAGAGACCAUUUUGAUGAGCACUGAUGUCUGAUCAGUUUCACACUAUACCAGGCAACUAAGUGGAUAAGAUAUUUUAAAAUCCCAAUUAAAAAACCCUGCUGGUAUUAUAAAAGUGUUUAACAAAAGAUGAAAUACUGAGUCAACUUGUAAAUAUAGUUUUAAAGUUUAUGGGGGUUUUUUUGCUCUGAAAUAUUAUUGAUCUGUUGGCUUUCUAGAUAAAGCCCAGCCCUUCCCCUCAAGCUACUAAUGAUUGACAGCAAUUGAAUAAAUGCCC
rnacentral:lncRNA from 1 species